UUAUGAGAGUUUGAUCCUGGCUCAGGACGAACGCUGGCGGCGUGCCUAAUACAUGCAAGUCGAACGCUUUUUCUUUCACCGGAGCUUGCUCCACCGAAAGAAAAAGAGUGGCGAACGGGUGAGUAACACGUGGGUAACCUGCCCAUCAGAAGGGGAUAACACUUGGAAACAGGUGCUAAUACCGUAUAACACUAUUUUCCGCAUGGAAGAAAGUUGAAAGGCGCUUUUGCGUCACUGAUGGAUGGACCCGCGGUGCAUUAGCUAGUUGGUGAGGUAACGGCUCACCAAGGCAACGAUGCAUAGCCGACCUGAGAGGGUGAUCGGCCACACUGGGACUGAGACACG
rnacentral:rRNA from 1 species